GUGGGGAAUCUUGCGCAAUGGGCGAAAGCCUGACGCAGCCAUGUCGCGUGAAUGAUGAAGGUCUUAGGAUUGUAAAAUUCUUUCACCGGGGACGAUAAUGACGGUACCCGGAGAAGAAGCUCCGGCUAACUUCGUGCCAGCAGCCGCGGUAAUACGAAGGGGGCUAGCGUUGCUCGGAAUUACUGGGCGUAAAGGGCGCGUAGGCGGACAGCUUAGUCAGAGGUGAAAGCCCAGGGCUCAACCUUGGAAUUGCCUUUGAUACUGGCUGUCUUGAGUUUGGGAGAGGUGAGUGGAACUCCGAGUGUAGAGGUGAAAUUCGUAGAUAUUCGGAAGAACACCAGUGGCGAAGGCGACUCACUGGCCCAAUACUGACGCUGAGGCGCGAAAGCGUGGGGAGCAAACAGGAUUAGAUACCCGAGUAGUCC
rnacentral:rRNA from 1 species